CGAGCGAGCUCGUCCGCUCGUUCCUCGAUUCGUUAGGUCACUUCGCGUACUAUCACCUACACUCUGUGAGUAAACAGAACUCGCGAUAAGUGAUCGUUCCGGGUUAUUACGAUCUGUCGAAUCAUAGGUGUGAAGGAAACAAAAGUGAAAGAUAAUUGAAAAAGGAGGAAUCUGCUAUUGUGCGAUUUCGUGCUGUUUUCCUUCCUCAUUUCUACUUACUUGUUUGUGGGUCGAUUAUUCUGUGCGUGCGAAUUGAGAACAUCGCGUUGUCGCGGUAGUAACACGAUCCCAUCGGCUUACCGAGUGGAAUGGAAUGUGUUCGGAUGAAUCGAUGAAACUUCAAGAAUCCUGAGCGAAAGAUCGACGUUGAUUUGAUUCGGUGUAGCGAACGAACUUUGCUCUGCAUACGGAACUGAGAGAAAUCGCUGAUUUUAAAGGUGGCGAAAUGAGGUGACAUAUUCAACGAUGAGUUCAACGAGACAGCUGCACCUGAAUGAGUUGCAAAAUCGAUCAUCAUAACAUAUCGAAAGUGACAAUAAACGCGGCCUUGUGAAACGAACUCUGGGUGCUUAUUAUGAUCGAGUCGCGGCGAGUGCGUGAUAAGUGGUAAAUAUCGAUUGAUAAUAAUUCCACGGUUGAGUUGUCGGCGAAGAAGAGAUAAACCUCCGCG